rnacentral:tRNA from 2 species
GCCAGAGUAGCUCAGCGGUAGAGCAGGGGACUCAUAAGCCCUUGGUCGGCGGUUCAAAUCCGUCCUCUGGCACCA